UACGUAGGCAGCAAGCGUUGUUCGGAGUUACUGGGCGUAAAGGGCUCGUAGGCGGCCAACUAAGUCGGAUGUGAAAUCCCCAGGCUUAACCUGGGAACUGCAUCCGAUACUGGAUGGCUUGAAUCCGGGAGAGGGAUGCAGAAUUCCAGGUGUAGCGGUGAAAUGCGUAGAUAUCUGGAGGAAUACCGGUGGCGAAGGCGGCAUCCUGGACCGGCAUUGACGCUGAUGAGCGAAAGCUAGGGGAGCAAACGGG
rnacentral:rRNA from 1 species